AUACUGCCUUUGAGACCCCACUGCGCUUCUGCGUGGCGAGGGAGUCAGGCUGCAGCGCCAGAGCACUUGCUUGGAUGUAACUGCGGCCCACUGCUCCCUGCUGGCGGCCCUUUUAACCUCAAUCAACACUG
rfam:Myotis davidii contig210447, whole genome shotgun sequence.